rnacentral:rRNA from 1 species
GACGAACGCUGGCGGCGUGCCUUAGGCAUGCAAGUCGAACGGUCCUGCACUGCAGACCUGUGGUGGAAGGGUGAGUAACGCGUGGGAACGUACCUAUUGGUGGAGUAUAGCCUUUGGAAAGGAGGGGUAAUGCUGCAUAAACCCGCAAGGGGGAAGGGCUUAUCCGCUCGCCGAUAGAGCGGCCCGCGUCCUAUCAGUUUGUUGGUGAGGUAAUGGCGUACCAUGACUAUGACGUGUAUCUGGGCUGAGAGGGCGGCCAGCCUCAACGGAAGUGAGACACGGUCCGUACAUCUCCGGAUGAGAGCAAUAGGGGAUCUAGGCUAAUGGAGGAAACCCUGAUCCAGCGUGGCCGCGUGGGGGAAGAAGGUCUUCGGAUUGUAAACGCCGUCGGGCCCGCGGAUUGCGGGCAGAAUAGGCACGGGUCAAUAACUG